rnacentral:rRNA from 1 species
UUCCCUACGGGUGGCAGCAGUGGGGAAUAUUGGACAAUGGGCGCAAGCCUGAUCCAGCCAUGCCGCGUGUGUGAAGAAGGCCUUAUGGUUGUAAAGCACUUUAAGCGAGGAGGAGGCUACUUUAGUUAAUACCUAGAGAUAGUGGACGUUACUCGCAGAAUAAGCACCGGCUAACUCUGUGCCAGCAGCCGCGGUAAUACAGAGGGUGCAAGCGUUAAUCGGAUUUACUGGGCGUAAAGCGCGCGUAGGCAGCUAAUUAAGUCAAAUGUGAAAUCCCCGAGCUUAACUUGGGAAUUGCAUUCGAUACUGGUUAGCUAGAGUGUGGGAGAGGAUGGUAGAAUUCCAGGUGUAGCGGUGAAAUGCGUAGAGAUCUGGAGGAAUACCGAUGGCGAAGGCAGCCAUCUGGCCUAACACUGACGCUGAGGUGCGAAAGCAUGGGGAGCAAACAGGAUUAGAUACCCUUGUAGUCC